rnacentral:tRNA from 1 species
AGAGGACUGAAAAUCCUCGUGUCACCAGUUCAAAAAGGG